GGAGGUAGCAUCCACAUCAAUCCUUUCGUACUUCCGUGUGUAUGAAACCUGUGUGCGUUUUUAUGAUAUAACCACACAUACACACACACCCACACACACGCCCUCACACCAAGUACGGGCACCUCGGUGCUGUCUCCACCUCAUCAUCGGCUGUGACUUCAUCUCCCGUUUACCUGCUAUUGUUCUGUCAAUAAACCUUCUAAGCUGCA